CUUAUUAGUAUAAAUUUUAUUAUAUUUAGUUUCCACCUAAAAGAUCUAAGGAUAAGAUAA
rnacentral:tRNA from 1 species